AGCCCUCGCUCAGAUUGCCGGGCGAUGGGAGGCAGCGGCGGAGAGAGUCCAAGGAGCGGAGGAGGCAGCAGGAAGGCGAGCAGCCCGAUCAUCCCGAUCACCCCGAUCACGUGACUCCGGGAUGCGCGCGCUUCGGGCGCGUCAGGUUUGUUGGUCUCGAGCAGGCGGUGUAGGUCAGGUGAAAUGGCGGAUCAAAAAUGACGACAGACGCAGCAGGGUAAAAACAAACAAAAAAAUUGACAAUGGGUUGUAAAAGCCUUGGGAAAAGAGUUACAAAAGAUGACUGAAAAGCCAAUGUCUCCGUGAGUGAGUUGUGGAGGGGGGGAGGCAUCGUCCUCCUCAUCGGGGUUUUGUUUUGAUAACAUCCAGAAGUUCUCAAGGUAUCAGAAAGACGAAUUUGAGGUAACUAUCGCUGUGGGCUUGCUCGAUGCUUUGCAAGUAAGAAAGCAGGGGGAAACGGCAUUUUAAUUCAGUAAAACAGUGAUUUAAGGCUGGUGAUGUGCGGAGGAAAUUCGCUAUGUGUGUGGGGAGGGGGGGUUACUGAUCUAUAUCAGCUAUUUCUUUCAAGGAUAUUGUGAUUGCUCUCCAAACCCGAGAUACUUGAUGAGAGGAAUUUCCCCAAAGUAUGGUAAAAAUGUCUCUCCUAAGCAUGCAAAUCCAGACAUCGACUGUGACGAAAGUAUAUUGAGCAAUUCAGUGACAUGCUCUUGUUUAAAGCUUGUGAAUGUGCUCUUGUCUUUGUGGGGUUGUCCUGGAUCUGUGGUGUGGGGGCUGGGGGGGGGAGAUUUACACAACACUAUCUUAGCCUUUUCACAGAUCAGAGCCGCUCUGCUGUACAGGGCAUGGAAAUUUCCAGACAGGGGCUGAGCAUGCUCAGUUCGCAACAGGGGGCGUGGCCUCCCUUGGCCCCUGGUGUUGAUUGACAAGAGGGGAGGAGGAGCCACUGUGUGCUGGGAGGAGACAGAGGGGGCGCGUCCAGCCCUUGGGCAUGACCACCUGGAGGUGCCCCUCUGAGGGGCGCAGUUGAUCGCAGGGCCUUGGUUGUAACCGACCAAGCCUUGCGGGUUUGGCAUGAAGCAGGUCGGCCGGUUCCGGUUCUGGCCUCAGGAGUCCUGGAGUUGAUCCUUUUCGGCCAUUUGGGGCAUCUGUAGUGGCUACAGCAACAGCAUCAUCAGUGUCCUGCAGUUUAAAGCGAUCUGAUAACCCAGUCAAGUGGUGGUGUGACCUCAGGGAGGACUUGGUCACUCGGCUUGGGCCCUGCAUGGUGACUGUUUUAAUGAGAGCCAGGAUUACCAUGGAAACGAGAGAGGAUGCAUCUACUUGAGACGCCAUGCGAAUGUGGCUUGAUUUAAUGGAGAGCCUUUUAGCCCAAACCCUUUCGAAAAGGGGCCUUUUCAUGGUUCGGUUGUGCAGCUGUUAUCCGAGAUUCCACAAGCCUGUCAGCCCCCCGAUGGAAGCUAACCUGAGGAAAUUGCCUUCUCUUUUUACUGUUAACUUUUAAAGGGUCCCUUGAUUGGACUCGACAUGCUUUGUGAUAAUGAAAUUGGGCUGGUGGAUAAUGUUUGGUGGCCCUGUUGCGAUUCAUAAGCCAUGCACGUUAGUUUGACUUAAGAGACUUGAACUGGCUUACUUCAUAGUUGUAAUUGUUCUGUACCCCUAUGAUUGACCAUCUGUAAAACUGUAGAUGCUCUCAUCAGGUUGCUGUUUGACCAGGUGGGAGUUUUAUUUAUACUGUUUGGCCACUGGAUGGCAGUCAUGCAACAUUCUUUUGCAGAUAGUAAUGUAAACAAAGAACUUUGUUAAAUAAUUUAACCUAAUCAAAUUCUGUGUAUUUACCAUUGUAUGAAGGAGUAAUUCAGGAUGCUUUUGUACAAUAAGGUAUUGAUGCCUCUUAUCUACUAAACAGCUGUGGUUUAACAAAAGCUGUUUUUUACCUCUGAGCUGCAACUUUAUCCAGCCAUCAGGAUAUUCCUUAGUUUAAUUACACUUAGACUGUAUUCUGGCUUUAUAAAAUGAUCUUGCUUUUUAUUGCACUUUACUCGGAGAAAAGCUUUUCCAUGCUAUUUAGUUUUUUAAAAUUUCUUCGGAUCCUGUUAACUUUUAAUAUAGCUGGAUUUGACUUGAAUGUGUAUUCAUAUUUUUCCCCAAGAUCCCCCUUCUGUGAUGUGCACUCUAGGAGCAUUUUCCUCCUGAGCUGGAUAUGAUCAAGCUUCACUCUUAAGUCCAUGUGAUUUAGAUGGGUUGUUGAACCUGUGUAUUAUUACUAGUCUUGGCUGAUACAACCUUGCCAGUGUCUGGAAAGAUCUGCCCCACUGACCAGUAGUCCUGGAGUAAUGUUAACUUCAGUGUAUCCUGAAUCCUAGAUUUGUGAAAGGAGUACUCGCAGCUCCUCAUCAGGUGUGACACCUAGCAAUCAUGAUACUUGUGUAUUUAACCCAUUUUUUCCUUUCAGGGAUGUAAACAAAAUAAGUUAAAAUAUUAAAGAUUAAAUUAAG